CGCUCAGGACGAACGCUGGGCGGCGUGCUUAACACAUGCAAGUCGAACGAUGAUGCCCAGCUUGCUGGGCGGAUUAGUGGCGAACGGGUGAGUAAUACGUGAGUAACCUGCCCUUGACUCUGGGAUAAGCCUGGGAAACUGGGUCUAAUACUGGAUACUACCUCUUGCCGCAUGGUGGGUGGUGGAAAGGGUUUUACUGGUUUUGGAUGGGCUCACGGCCUAUCAGCUUGUUGGUGGGGUAAUGGCUCACCAAGGCGACGACGGGUAGCCGGCCUGAGAGGGUGACCGGCCACACUGGGACUGAGACACGGCCCAGACUCCUACGGGAGGCAGCAGUGGGGAAUAUUGCACAAUGGGCGGAAGCCUGAUGCAGCGACGCCGCGUGAGGGAUGACGGCCUUCGGGUUGUAAACCUCUUUCAGUAGGGAAGAAGCGAGAGUGACGGACCGCAGAA
rnacentral:rRNA from 1 species